CUGUCUCGAAGAACCUGGUACUCUUGGUCAGAUGGCACAGAGCAUGAAUUCAAAAACUGGUUGACUGGAAACAUACCAUAUAACAGUGGAGACUGUGCUACCAGUUUGAUCGGUGCUACUGAUGCUGGAAAGUGGGUGGAAGAUCACUGUGACCAAAAACGUCCUUUCAUGUGCCACUACGAGAAAAAGCAGCAGCUUCGGAUCAAGCUGAGGGUUCUGAAAUCCACAAUGGACCUGAAUGACCCCGCUGUGACGGAGGCCAUCCAGAAACUGCUGGAGAAGAAGCUGAAAGAGAAAGGGAUCACAGCAGGGUUCAAACUUAGAUGGGUCAAGAAGCCUGACAACACCAUCUUUGAGGAAGAGAAGGAAGAGAAGGAUGAACUGUAAACUGUAUUUACAGGAUAUCUUUCAUUUGUUUUACUUUGAAGGUUCAUGUUUUAGGUUGACAUGUUAGAGCCAACUAAUAAAUAUCAAACUGUCAUGUGAGACAUUUAUUGUUUUGGAGUAGA